rnacentral:rRNA from 8 species
CUAGCGCGGUGGUCCCACCUGACCCCAUGCCGAACUCAGAAGUGAAACGCCGUAGCGCCGAUGGUAGUGUGGGGUCUCCCCAUGUGAGAGUAGGGAACUGCCAGGC